CCUACGGGGGGCUGCAGUGAGGAAUAUUGGUCAAUGGACGAGAGUCUGAACCAGCCAAGUAGCGUGAAGGAUGACUGCCCUAUGGGUUGUAAACUUCUUUUAUAUGGGAAUAAAACGUUCCACGUGUGGGAUUUUGUAUGUACCAUAUGAAUAAGGAUCGGCUAACUCCGUGCCAGCAGCCGCGGUAAUACGGAGGAUCCGAGCGUUAUCCGGAUUUAUUGGGUUUAAAGGGAGCGUAGGUGGAUUGUUAAGUCAGUUGUGAAAGUUUGCGGCUCAACCGGAAAAUUGCAGUUGAAACUGGCAGUCUUGAGUACAGGAGAGGUGGGCGGAAUUCGUGGUGUAGCGGUGAAAUGCUUAGAUAUCACGAAGAACUCCGAUUGCGAAGGCAGUUCACUGGACUGCAACUGACACUGAGGCUCGAAAGUGUGGGUAUCAAACAGGAUUAGAUACCCCUGUAGUC
rnacentral:rRNA from 1 species